GAGUGAAGCGGCAACAGCUCAAAUUUGAAAUCUGGCUCUUUCAGGGUCCGAGUUGUAAUUUGUAGAGGAUGUUUCGGGUGUGGCUCCGGUCUAAGUUCCUUGGAACAGGACGUCAUAGAGGGUGAGAAUCCCGUAUGUGACUGGAAGCCUUCGUCCAUGUGAAACUCCUUCGACGAGUCGAGUUGUUUGGGAAUGCAGCUCAAAAUGGGUGGUAAAUUUCAUCUAAAGCUAAAUACUGGCCAGAGACCGAUAGCGCACAAGUAGAGUGAUCGAAAGAUGAAAAGCACUUUGGAAAGAGAGUUAAAAAGUACGUGAAAUUGUUGAAAGGGAAGCGCUUGCAACCAGACUUGCUCGCGGUUGCUCAGCCGGUGUUCUCACCGGUGCACUCUUCCGCGAUCAGGCCAGCAUCGGUUUAGGCGGCUGGAUAAAGGCCCUGGGAAUGUAGCUCCUCUCGGGGAGUGUUAUAGCCCGGGGUGCAAUGCAGCCCGCCUGGAUCGAGGACCGCGCUUCGGCUAGGAUGCUGGCGUAAUGGUUGUAAGCGACCCGUCUUGAAACACGGACCAAGGAGUCUAACAUCUAUGCGAGUGUUUGGGUGUCAAACCCAUACGCGUAAUGAAAGUGAACGGAGGUGGGAACCCUUAAGGGUGCACCAUCGACCGAUCCUGAUGUCUUCGGAUGGAUUUGAGUAAGAGCAUAGCUGUUGGGACCCGAAAGAUGGUGAACUAUGCCUGAAUAGGGUGAAGCCAGAGGAAACUCUGGUGGAGGCUCGCAGCGGUUCUGACGUGCAAAUCGAUCGUCAAAUUUGGGUAUAGGGGCGAAAGACUAAUCGAACCAUCUAGUAGCUGGUUCCUG
rnacentral:rRNA from 1 species